CACAGAUUAUAGAAUUUGUAGCAUCAAGAAAAUUCCAGUGACUUCCCUUACCAAAAUGUAAAGUUUGCUGCAAAUUUGCCGCAAGUUUGCUGCAAGUUUGCGGCAAACAAAUCAGUGUGCCAGAGCUGUUUGCCAGAAGUGUGCAGCUAAUGCCGCUAGCGGCAUACAGUGUGCCACUAGCAGUACACAGUGUGCCACUAGUGGCACAGUGUGCCAGAAGUGCACCACAACUUUUCCUAAAUGAAACAGUGUGCCAGAAGUGCACCACAACUUCUUCUUUGGUAUUCAGAAUCAAAACUGUGUGCCAGAAGUGCACCACAACUUUUUCUUUGGUUUUCAGAAUCGUGUGCCAGAAGUUCACAACUUUUUUCUUAAAAUUUUAGAACUGAAACAGUAAGGGUACCAAAGUUCACGACUUUUUCUUGAAUAUUUAGAAUAAAAGAGCCAUAUCAAUAUAUCCAUCACAACAUUUUCUAUAAUAGAACAUAUGCAACAUUUCUCGCACCCCCUUCAAUCGAUCUUCUUGUCUUAAUGGGAAUUAGCGGUCAUUUUGUCACCAAAUAUUGAAUUCAAUGAAAGUUGCCCUAUAAUAGAUAUUAUAUAUUAAAGUAAUAAUUACACUUGUAUUUAAUUAUUUCAAACACCUUUUAACAUCUUGAAAAAGAAUAUGUGAUUUUGGUGAUUGAAUAUUAUUGUCUUGCGAGACAGUAUAAUUAUUCUCUAGUUACCUUUGCAUGCUGUCAGCAAAAUGUAUUUGUUGUUUUUGUUUAUAUUUGAGAAAUGAUUUAAUUGGGGUGCAGUGAAUACUUCUUCCGUAUAUAUAUUUCUUUACAUUAAAAGCGGUUAUCUAACAUAGUUUUAUUAGGAUUAAUUUUCUUGUUUUUGUACAUAAUAAAAAAUAAAUGUUCUUAUUAGUCAUCAAUAUAUAUUUCAAUAUCAUCGAGAGAUUUUGAGAGAAAAAUAGUUGCCAUCACUUUCACAGCUAAUGCCCCUUUAAAGUAAGAUGUAAGUGCACAGGUAUCUGAAUUUUAAUCUAAUUAUUUCAAUUAUUUAUUGAUUCACCAAGCAUGUUGGCAUACAAUCAUGUUACACAAUAUGAGAUAUAUAAUGACAAUAAACUAAUUACUAACAGUUCAUUUACAUAUAUGUAAAUACAAGUAUAUAUUUGAUAUGUACCUGUGAUAUUAGACUAUGUAUACAAUUUAGUAUUGCAUAUAUUACAUAAAUUAAAUGUAGUUAUAGCACUCUACUUUUGGUGCGCAAUUCAAAACAUUCAUGGAAAAAUUAAAUGUAGUUAUAGCACUCUACUUUUGGUGCGCAAUUCAAAACAUUCAUGUAAAAAUUCAAAAAACCUUCUAGCAUGAACUACAUUGACAGGGUUGCAUAGUACUUUACAAUGGUUUUCCUUUGAUAUAGCAUCGUGUGAAUUGUAGAUGUUCAAAGGGUAAUAGUUAAUAUUUAUCAUUUCCAUUAGUGGAACUCUUCAAAUUAAAGGCACGUAAAGUCGUGCUACCGGGACAAAAUAAUGUAAAUACAUUACUUAGGCAUACGUAAUAUGAAUUAUGGUAUCGAAUACAUAUUAUAACCGACUGCAAACCACACCACUGAUUAAAAUUCUAAAGUCAAAUUUAGGAAUUGAUUAUUCUUAAAAGAAAACAGACGAUAUCAAACUAUGUGAGGGAGAGAAGCUACUAAAUUUGCCAAAUCUGACCGUACCGAUAUAAAGCAUCAAUCGCAAGAAGAACUGUGAGGAGAAAAACCUAUAUGCACAUCCAACACAAGAAAUUUUCUUGUAAUUAAUGUGAGUAAUAUGUUUUUAAAGUUAUUCUGUCAGACUAUGAAGAUAUUCUAUUUUAUCAUACAAUUAGGACAGGUUCAUAUGGCAUGGACUUUGUAAUCGUAGACGUACCCCCCCCCCCCCCCCCCCUCCCCCCGGUCAAUCUCCAUAUAUUAGAACAAGUUAUAUACAUUUAUAUGCCAAACUGCAUUUUUUAAAGACGUUUAUAACACUAAUUAACACACCUAAUGCGUUUCCAAACUGCAUCUAAGCUAAUUUGAAAAUUACAAAAUAUUGAUGGACUUGGAUGUCCAGAGAACAUCGUUGUUUGGAAUUUUUAAAAUAGGUGUGGUGGAGUUUAAAAAACAUGUAACAUCUUUAAUAAGAUGGUGUUAGAAUAUUUGAAAAAUGCAGUUUGACUAAAGGUAAUUUUAUUUAAAAAUACACCAUGUAUUUUAACUCUUAACAAAUGGGGUGGGGGUGCUAUGUACGUUUCGUUCCGUUUAUGUCCCAGUAAUCUCGCACUUGCUCGCGAGAUUUGUGCAUUUUCUUACCAAUGACGCACAAGAGUCAUCAAAGCGCGAUAACUCUAACGAGCUGGUAAUGAGAAGUAUUAGAAAAAAAUGUGAAGAAAUUUUUUUUUUAUAUCUAAAUAAAUGGAGAGAGAGAGAGAGAGAGAGAGAGAGAGAGAGAGAGAGAGAGAGAGAGAGAGAGAGAGAUUUCUUUUCUUUAUUUACAUGUAUAUCUGUUGAUUACAGUUCAGAUACUGGGUUUGUGAGUUGAAAUUAAUCAAAUGAGAGUGGUAAAAAUCCACCUUUAUAUGUAUAAUUUACAUAUCAGGAUUUUAUCCAGGUACGUUAUUCUGGUUUGUGGAAUGCUAAUUUAUACUAAGUUAGAAUAAUCUAAGCUGUAUACCAAAGUAGGUCUUCAUGGGGCUUUACGGCUCUAUGCAUCGUAAAUAGAGAUCGGGUUCAAUGCGUCGGGUGUGGGAUUCACACAAUAUAUGCUGAGCGCGAAAGUUGAUAUUGACAGGCGCCAUAAUGUUAUACCGGUAAACAACAUUUUGAACAUGAAUCGAGAACAGGAGUUGAAUCAGUUGAUGCAGAUAUUCUGAGGAGAAUCUUCCAGUCAUUGAAAUAUAUUUCAUGAUAGUCAUGCAGAUUCAGAAGUUGUGAUGGUGUGUUGAUAGGCUGUCUUCAACUUGCCAUAUCUUAGAGUUCCAACAUGCAGGCCUGGAUUAAUGUGUAUAAAUCACUAAUGAAAAAAAGAAUGACAUUUCAAUUUAUACACACUUGCCAAGUGAAUCUGAUGAGACUGCUACAUGUAUUUGUGAGUAAAGGCACUCUGUCUUAACCGAAAAACUAUUUACAGUUUAUCACAACAAAUGGAUGGGACAGUAGAGCUGUUGCGGACAAUAUGUGAUUGUGAUGACCAAGUACUGAACAAGUGGAAGAUUAGAAGAAGGUCCAGAAUUCAAUCAUGUUUUUGAUUCUAAGGUCCACACAGCAUGGAGAUAGUCCUAUUAUUCUCCCGUUCAUCUAUGAUGGAGAAACUUGUGUAAAUGUUUAGUGUUCUCCCUAAUAAUUAAGUGCCCACAAGUCUGUAUUAAUUUAUCAGAAUAUAAAGUCCUUCACAGUACUGAUUUUAAAAUUAAUGUAGAUUGUCUCCAGAUUUUUCUGAGGAAAAGUGCAUAGUUUACAUGUGUGAAUUUUGAAUAUAUUUCAUUCUUGUCUGCAAAUGUUGCCGAAACCUGUUGUUAUUGAUGCACAGUCAUGUUAUGCAAAUGAUAGACCUUCUUAACUACAUGUACAGAAGAUCAUGUCAACUCCUUUGUCUUAAUUGUAUACACAAUUCUAGCAUUUAUAGCAUCAUUUAUAUAGCACUUGCUAGCUUAAGAAGGAUUUUAUUUUCUAAAAGCUUUCAUUUGACAUGAUUGAUCUAAAACGACCAAAAUUCACAAAUCUAUUUAAAUCACAACCUGACCUUAUGUCAGAAAAGUGCCACUGUGGGUUGAUAUUUUUCUCUUGGAUCUUGAAAGAAAUUCUUUAUGCAGCAGUUUCCAAAUAAAAUGUACUCUCAUGGCCAGGGUGGGACUUCACUGAGAACUUUUUAACAUUGCACAAUGCAAUAUUUGUAGAUUAGAAGUUGUUGCAGUUUCUUUAAGUUUUCUCUCACAUCUUGUUAUAAUUAUAUUUUAUAUUUUUGGUUGGGUUGCACAAUGUGCAAACAGUUUAUAAAAUGGUGAAUGACUCAGUGGUGGGCAAGCGACAGUAGCGUCCCUGUAAUAGUACCUACUUUGUGUAAUCAACUCCUUUCAUACCUCUCACUUGAUGUUCCUUAAACUUUGUACAGUUGUUAGGGAUACAUUGAAGAUGUGCAUGUGCCUUUUUGAAAGUGAUCAGACAUUUUUUGAAAAAUUUACAUGUAGUUGAACUUCGUCAUUUUUAAGCAUUUCUUUAAUCGACAGUACCUAUUUUGUGUAAUCAACUCCUCGUAUACCUCUAACUUGACAUUCCUCAAACUGUGUACAUUUGUUUUGAACACAUAGAAAAUGUGCAUAUGUGUUUUUGAAAGUGAUCAGACAUUUAAAAAAAAAUGUAUAUGUAGUUGAACUUAGUCAUUUUUAAGCAUUUCUUGAAUAGAUGGUAACUAUUUUGUGUAAUCAAAUCUUCAUGCACCUCUAACUUGACAUUCCUUAAACUUUGUACAGUUGUUAUGAACACAUUGAAGAUGUGCAUGCAUCUUUUUGAAAAUGAUUAGACUUUUAAAAAAAAAAAAUUAUGUGUAGUUGAACUUGGUCAUUUUUAUGCAUUUCUUGAAUAGAUGGUACCUAUUUUUUGUGAUCAACUCGUGCACAUCUAAAUUGAUAUUCCUCAAACUUUGUACAGUAGUUAUGGACACAUUGAAGAUGCGCAUGUGUCUUUUUGAAAGUGAUCAGACUUUUUUCCAAAAAAUUACAUUUAGUUGAACUUUGUCAUUUUUUAAGCAUUUCCUGAAUAGAUGGUACUUAUUUUUUGUAAUCAACUCCUCUUACAGCAUUUAUUUGACAUUCUUCAGACCUUGAACAGCUGUUAUGGAAGCAUUGUAAAUGUGCAUGUGUCUUUUCAGAAGUGAUCAGGCAUUCUUUGAAAAAUUUACAUGUGCAUGGUGAAGUUGAACUUAGUCAUUUUUUUAAGCAUAGUACUUUAUGUAACCAACUCAGCUUUUACUUAACAUUUUCCAGACCCUGUACAUUAUAGAUGUUUUAAAAACAUUGAAGAUAUUCAUGUAACAUUUUAAAAAUGCUUCUCUUUUUUUUUUUUCUCUCUUUUUUGUUAUUGAAAAAUUCUACCUUUAAUUUGUCAUUUUCCCAGUAUAUGUUUCUACUGUUGUUCCUAUGAUAGAGAACAUAUUUUACAAGAACCCGGUCAUUUCUGUUUUUGAAUAAUUUUUUUUUAAUUAGUAUUUUUGAAUAUGUUAAUUACUUGAUAUGUCAUUGUUCUUGAAAUUAUAUUAAUUGAAUUGUUA